CACGCCGUAAACGAUGACUACUAGGUGUCGGGUGGCAAAGCCAUUCGGUGCCGCAGCAAACGCAAUAAGUAGUCCACCUGGGGAGUACGUUCGCAAGAAUGAAACUCAAAGGAAUUGACG
rnacentral:rRNA from 1 species